AUUGAACGCUGGCGGCAGGCCUAACACAUGCAAGUCGAGCGGAUGAAGGGAGCUUGCUCCUGGAUUCAGCGGCGGACGGGUGAGUAAUGCCUAGGAAUCUGCCUGGUAGUGGGGGAUAACGUCCGGAAACGGGCGCUAAUACCGCCUACGUCCUGAGGGAGAAAGUGGGGGAUCUUCGGACCUCACGCUAUCAGAUGAGCCUAGGUCGGAUUAGCUAGUUGGUGGGGUAAAGGCCUACCAAGGCGACGAUCCGUAACUGGUCUGAGAGGAUGAUCAGUCACACUGGAACUGAGACACGGUCCCGACUCCUACGGGAGGCAGCAGUGGGGAAUAUUAGACAAUGGGCGAAAGCCUGAUCCAGCCAUGCCGCGUGUGUGAAGAAGGUCUUCGGAUUGUAAAGCACUUUAAGUUGGGAGGAAGGGCAGUAAGUUAAUACCUUGCUGUUUUGACGUUACCAACAGAAUAAGCACCGGCUAACUUCGUG
rnacentral:rRNA from 1 species